rnacentral:rRNA from 1 species
ACGACGCUGGCGGCGUGCCUAAUACAUGCAAGUCGAACGGUCUUUCUAUGGAAGCUUGCUUCCACUGAGAAGAUAGUGGCGAACGGGUGAGUAACACGUGGGUAACCUGCCCAUAAGAGGGGGGAUAACAUCCGGAAACGGGUGCUAAUACCGCAUAGUUUUCUUGAUCGCAUGAUUGAGAAAGGAAAGACGGCCUUUGUGCUGUCGCUUAUGGAUGGACCCGCGGCGUAUUAGUUAGUUGGUGAGGUAACGGCUCACCAAGACGAUGAUACGUAGCCGACCUGAGAGGGUGAUCGGCCACAUUGGGACUGAGACACGGCCCAAACUCCUACGGGAGGCAGCAGUAGGGAAUCUUCCGCAAUGGACGAAAGUCUGACGGAGCAACGCCGCGUGAGUGAAGAAAAGGUUUUCGGAUCGUAAAACUCUGUUGUCAGAGAAGAACAAGUUGGAGAGUAACUGCUCCAGCCUUGACGGUAUCUGACCAGAAAGCCACGGCUAACUACGUGCCAGCAGCCGC